rnacentral:rRNA from 1 species
AUUGAACGCUGGCGGCAGGCCUAACACAUGCAAGUCGAGCGAGCGGCGGACGGGUGAGUAAUGUAUGGGGACUGCCCGAUAGAGGGGGAUAACUACUGGAAACGGUAGCUAAUAACGCAUACUAUCGGAUAACCCAUAUGGGAUUAGCUAGUAGGUGAGGUAACGGCUCACCUAGGCGACGAUCACUCGCUGGUCUGAGAGGAUGAUCAGCCACACUGGGAUUGAGACACGCCCCAGAUCCAUACGGGGGCAGGUGUGGGUAAGAUUGCACAAUGGGCGCAAGCCUUAUGCAGCCAUGCCGCGUGUAUGAAGAAGGCCCGAGGGUGUUAAAGUACUUUCAGUCGGGAGGCGUUGCCGACAGAAGAAGCACCGGCUAACUCCGUGCCAGCAGCCGCGGUAAUUC